GGUUAAGCGACUAAGCGUACACGGUGGAUGCCCUGGCAGUCAGAGGCGAUGAAGGACGUGCUAAUCUGCGAAAAGCGUCGGUAAGGUGAUAUGAACCGUUACAGCCGGCGAUGUCCGAAUGGGGAAACCCAGUGCAAUUCGUUGCACUAUCGUUAACUGAAUACAUAGGUUAACGAGGCGAACCGGGGGAACUGAAACAUCUAAGUACCCCGAGGAAAAGAAAUCAACCGAGAUUCCCCCAGUAGCGGCGAGCGAACGGGGAGCAGCCCAGAGUCUGAAUCAGCUUGUGUGUUAGUGGAACGGUCUGGAAAGUCCGACGGUACAGGGUGAUAGUCCCGUACACCAAAAUGCACAGGUUGUGAACUCGAAGAGUAGGGCGGGACACGUGGUAUCCUGUCUGAAUAUGGGGGGACCAUCCUCCAAGGCUAAAUACUCCUGACUGACCGAUAGUGAACCAGUACCGUGAGGGAAAGGCGAAAAGAACCCCGGCGAGGGGAGUGAAAAAGAACCUGAAACCGUGUACGUACAAGCAGUGGGAGCACCUUUAUGGUGUGACUGCGUACCUUUUGUAUAAUGGGUCAGCGACUUAUAUUCUGUAGCAAGGUUAACCGUAUAGGGGAGCCGCAGGGAAACCGAGUCUUAACUGGGCGUUAAGUUGCAGGGUAUAGACCCGAAACCCGGUGAUCUAGCCAUGGGCAGGUUGAAGGUUGGGUAACACUAACUGGAGGACCGAACCGACUAAUGUUGAAAAAUUAGCGGAUGACUUGUGGCUGGGGGUGAAAGGCCAAUCAAACCGGGAGAUAGCUGGUUCUCCCCGAAAGCUAUUUAGGUAGCGCCUCGUGAACUCAUCUUCGGGGGUAGAGCACUGUUUCGGCUAGGGGGUCAUCCCGACUUACCAACCCGAUGCAAACUACGAAUACCAAAGAAUGUUAUCACGGGAGACACACGGCGGGUGCUAACGUCCGUCGUGAAGAGGGAAACAACCCAGACCGCCAGCUAAGGUCCCAAAGUCAUGGUUAAGUGGGAAACGAUGUGGGAAGGCACAGACAGCCAGGAUGUUGGCUUAGAAGCAGCCAUCAUUUAAAGAAAGCGUAAUAGCUCACUGGUCGAGUCGGCCUGCGCGGAAGAUGUAACGGGGCUAAACCAUGCACCGAAGCUGCGGCAGCGACACUAUGUGUUGUUGGGUAGGGGAGCGUUCUGUAAGCCUGCGAAGGUGACCUGUGAGGGUUGCUGGAGGUAUCAGAAGUGCGAAUGCUGACAUAAGUAACGAUAAAGCGGGUGAAAAGCCCGCUCGCCGGAAGACCAAGGGUUCCUGUCCAACGUUAAUCGGGGCAGGGUGAGUCGACCCCUAAGGCGAGGCCGAAAGGCGUAGUCGAUGGGAAACAGGUUAAUAUUCCUGUACUUGGUGUUACUGCGAAGGGGGACGGAGAAGGCUAUGUUAGCCGGGCGACGGUUGUCCCGGUUUAAGCAUGUAGGCUGGUUAUCCAGGCAAAUCCGGAUAAUCAAGGCUGAGGUGUGAUGACGAGGCACUACGGUGCUGAAGUAACAAAUGCCCUGCUUCCAGGAAAAGCCUCUAAGCAUCAGGUAACAUCAAAUCGUACCCCAAACCGACACAGGUGGUCAGGUAGAGAAUACCAAGGCGCUUGAGAGAACUCGGGUGAAGGAACUAGGCAAAAUGGUGCCGUAACUUCGGGAGAAGGCACGCUGGUGUGUAGGUGAAGUCCCUGCGGAUGGAGCUGAGACCAGUCGAAGAUACCAGCUGGCUGCAACUGUUUAUUAAAAACACAGCACUGUGCAAACACGAAAGUGGACGUAUACGGUGUGACGCCUGCCCGGUGCCGGAAGGUUAAUUGAUGGGGUUAUCCGUAAGGAGAAGCUCUUGAUCGAAGCCCCGGUAAACGGCGGCCGUAACUAUAACGGUCCUAAGGUAGCGAAAUUCCUUGUCGGGUAAGUUCCGACCUGCACGAAUGGCGUAAUGAUGGCCAGGCUGUCUCCACCCGAGACUCAGUGAAAUUGAACUCGCUGUGAAGAUGCAGUGUACCCGCGGCAAGACGGAAAGACCCCGUGAACCUUUACUAUAGCUUGACACUGAACAUUGAGCCUUGAUGUGUAGGAUAGGUGGGAGGCUUUGAAGCGUGGACGCCAGUCUGCGUGGAGCCAACCUUGAAAUACCACCCUUUAAUGUUUGAUGUUCUAACGUUGGCCCCUGACCGGGGUUGCGGACAGUGUCUGGUGGGUAGUUUGACUGGGGCGGUCUCCUCCCAAAGCGUAACGGAGGAGCACGAAGGUUAGCUAAUCCUGGUCGGACAUCAGGAGGUUAGUGCAAUGGCAUAAGCUAGCUUGACUGCGAGCGUGACGGCGCGAGCAGGUGCGAAAGCAGGUCAUAGUGAUCCGGUGGUUCUGAAUGGAAGGGCCAUCGCUCAACGGAUAAAAGGUACUCCGGGGAUAACAGGCUGAUACCGCCCAAGAGUUCAUAUCGACGGCGGUGUUUGGCACCUCGAUGUCGGCUCAUCACAUCCUGGGGCUGAAGUAGGUCCCAAGGGUAUGGCUGUUCGCCAUUUAAAGUGGUACGCGAGCUGGGUUUAGAACGUCGUGAGACAGUUCGGUCCCUAUCUGCCGUGGGCGCUGGAGAAUUGAGGGGGGCUGCUCCUAGUACGAGAGGACCGGAGUGGACGCAUCACUGGUGUUCGGGUUGUCAUGCCAAUGGCACUGCCCGGUAGCUAAAUGCGGAAGAGAUAAGUGCUGAAAGCAUCUAAGCACGAAACUUGCCCCGAGAUGAGUUCUCCCUGAGACUUUAAGUCUCCUGAAGGAACGUUGAAGACGACGACGUUGAUAGGCCGGGUGUGUAAGCGCAGCGAUGCGUUGAGCUAACCGGUACUAAUGAACCGUGAGGCUUAACCUU
rnacentral:rRNA from 1 species